rnacentral:rRNA from 1 species
GUGAGGAAUAUUGCGCAAUGGAGGCAACUCUGACGCAGCCAUGCCGCGUGCAGGAAGAAGGCGCUACGCGUUGUAAACUGCUUUUAACCGGGAAGAAACCCCAGGACGUGUCCUGGGUUGACGGUACCGGAGGAAUAAGCACCGGCUAACUUCGUGCCAGCAGCCGCGGUAAUACGAAGGGUGCAAGCGUUAUCCGGAUUCAUUGGGUUUAAAGGGUGCGUAGGAGGAGCGUUAAGUCAGUGGUGAAAUCCUGCAGCUUAACUGUAGACUUGCCAUUGAUACUGGCGCUCUUGAGUGCGCUUGAAGUGGGCGGAAUGUGCCGUGUAGCGGUGAAAUGCUUAGAUAUGGCACAGAACACCAAUUGCGAAGGCAGCUCACUAAGGCGAUACUGACGCUGAGGCACGAAAGCGUGGGGAUCGAACAGGAUUAGAAACCCAUGUAGUCC